rnacentral:rRNA from 1 species
GUGCACGCUGGCGGUAGGCCUAACACCUGCAAGUCGCACGGCAGCACAGUAAGAGCUUGCUCUUACGGGUGGCGAGUGGCGGACGGGUGAGGAAUACAUCGGAAUCUACUUUUUCGUGGGGGAUAACGUAGGGAAACUUACGCUAAUACCGCAUACGACCUACGGGUGAAAGCAGGGGAUCUUCGGACCUUGCGCGAUUGAAUGAGCCGAUGUCGGAUUAGCUAGUUGGCGGGGUAAAGGCCCACCAAGGCGACGAUCCGUAGCUGGUCUGAGAGGAUGAUCAGCCACACUGGAACUGAGACACGGUCCAGACUCCUACGGGAGGCAGCAGUGGGGAAUAUUGGACAAAGGGCGCAAGCCUGAUCCAGCCAUACCGCGUGGGUGAAGAAGGCCUUCGGGUUGUAAAGCCCUUUUGUUGGGAAAGAAAAGCAGCAGGUUAAUACCCCGCUGUUCUGACGGUACCCAAAGAAUAAGCACCGGCUAACUUCGUG